rnacentral:rRNA from 1 species
GUUUGAUCCUGGCUCAGGAUGAACGCUGGCGGCGUGCUUAACACAUGCAAGUCGAACGAGCCUUCGGGCUAGUGGCGGACGGGUGGGUAACGCGUGAGAAUCUGCCCUCAGGAGGGGGAUAACGGCUGGAAACGGCCGCUAAUACCCCAUAUGCCGCGAGGUGAAAUGAGAAAUCGCCUGAGGAUGAGCUCGCGUCUGAUUAGCUAGUUGGUGGGGUAAGAGCCUACCAAGGCAUCGAUCAGUAGCUGGUCUGAGAGGAUGAUCAGCCACACUGGGACUGAGACACGGCCCAGACUCCUACGGGAGGCAGCAGUGGGGAAUUUUCCGCAAUGGGCGCAAGCCUGACGGAGCAACGCCGCGUGAGGGAUGAAGGCCUCUGGGCUGUAAACCUCUUUUCUCAAGGAUGAAGAACUGACGGUACUUGAGGAAUAAGCCACGGCUAAUUCCGUGCCAGCAGCCGCGGUAAUACGGGAGUGGCAAGCGUUAUCCGGAAUUAUUGGGCGUAAAGCGUCCGCAGGCGGUCUUGAAAGUCUGUUGUUAAAGCGUGGAGCUCAACUCCAUUUCAGCAAUGGAAACUAGAAGACUAGAGUGUGGUAGGGGCAGAGGGAAUUCCCGGUGUAGCGGUGAAAUGCGUAGAUAUCGGGAAGAACACCAGUGCGAAGGCGCUCUGCUGGGCCAUAACUGACGCUCAUGGACGAAAGCCAGGGGAGCGAAAGGGAUUAGAUACCCCUGUAGUCCUGGCCGUAAACGAUGAACACUAGGUGUCGGGGGAAUCGACCCCCUCGGUGUCGUAGCCAACGCGUUAAGUGUUCCGCCUGGGGAGUACGCACGCAAGUGUGAAACUCAAAGGAAUUGACGGGGGCCCGCACAAGCGGUGGAGUAUGUGGUUUAAUUCGAUGCAACGCGAAGAACCUUACCAGGGUUUGACAUCCUGCGAAUCUUUUGGAAACAGAAGGGUGCCUUCGGGAGCGCAGAGACAGGUGGUGCAUGGCUGUCGUCAGCUCGUGUCGUGAGAUGUUGGGUUAAGUCCCGCAACGAGCAACCCACGUCUUUAGUUGCCAGCAUUGAGUUGGGCACUCUAGAGAGACCGCCGGUGAUAAACCGGAGGAAGGUGUGGAUGACGUCAAGUCAUCAUGCCCCUUACAUCCUGGGCUACACACGUACUACAAUGCUACGGACAGAGGGCAGCAAACUCGCGAGAGCUAGCAAAUCCCAUAAACCGUGGCUCAGUUCAGAUCGUAGGCUGCAACUCGCCUACGUGAAGGAGGAAUCGCUAGUAAUCGCAGGUCAGCAUACUGCGGUGAAUACGAUCCCGGGCCUUGUACACACCGCCCGUCACACCAUGGAAGUUGGCCAUGCCCGAAGUCGUUACUCCAACCCUUGUGGAGGAGGACGCCGAAGGUGGGGCUGAUGACUGGGGU